rnacentral:rRNA from 1 species
GAAAAACCCGUUCGCCGAAAGACCAAGGGUUCCAGUCCAACGUUAAUCGGGGCUGGGUGAGUCGACCCCUAAGGCGAGGCCGAAAGGCGUAGUCGAUGGGAAAAUGGUUAAUAUUCCAUUACUUCUGUGUAAUGCGAUGAGAGGACGGAGAAGGCUAAAUCAGCCUGGCGUUGGUUGUCCAGGUGAAAGGAUGUAGGCAUGUAUCUUAGGCAAAUCCGGGGUACUCUAUGCUGAGAUCUGAUAGCAAGCUGUACUUGUACAGCGAAGUGGUUGAUGCCAUGCUUCCAGGAAAAGUCUCUAAGCUUCAGUUACACAGGAAUCGUACCCGAAACCGACACAGGUGGUCAGGUCGAGUAGACCAAGGCGCUUGAGAGAACUCUGCUGAAGGAACUAGGCAAAAUGGUACCGUAACUUCGGGAGAAGGUACGCUGUUGUUGGUGAUGGAACUCGCUUCCUGAGCUGACGACAGCCGCAGAAACCAGGCCGC